GACGAACGCUGGCGGCGUGCUUAACACAUGCAAGUCGAACGGAAAGGCUCUGCUUUUUUGGGGUGGUCGAGUGGCGAUCGUGUGAGUAACACGUGAGUAACCUUCACGUGACUUUGGGCUGACUUCAGGAGACUGGGGAUAAUACCGGACGGGAGCUACUGCUGCAUGGUGGGGGAGGGAAAGUUUAGGCGGUGUGGGAUGGACUCGCGGCUUAUCAGGUUGCUGGGGUGGUAGAGGCUUACCAAGGCUUUGACGGGUAGCCUGCCUGAGAGGGUGACCGGACACGUUGGGACGGGGAUGCGGCCCGGCCCCCUACCGGACGCAGAAGUGGGGAAUAUUGCACUAUAGGCGGAAGCCUAGUGCAACAACGCCGCGUGGGGGAAGACGGGCUUCGGGUUGGAAACCGCUUUCGCAUGUGACGAAGAGUGAGUGACGGUAAUGGGUAAAGAAGCACCGGCUAACUACGUG
rnacentral:rRNA from 1 species